rnacentral:rRNA from 1 species
UGGGGAAUAUUGGACAAUGGGCGCAAGCCUGAUCCAGCCAUGCCGCGUGAAUGAAGAAGGCCCUAGGGUUGUAAAGUUCUUUCGGCGGGGAAGAUGAUGACGGUACCCGCAGAAGAAGCCCCGGCUAACUCCGUGCCAGCAGCCGCGGUAAUACGGAGGGGGCAAGCGUUGCUCGGAAUUACUGGGCGUAAAGGGCGUGUAGGCGGAUAGUCUAGUCAGGCGUGAAAGCCCCGGGCUUAACCUGGGAACUGCGCUUGAUACUGGCCAUCUAGAGUCCGGGAGAGGGUGGUGGAAUUCCCAGUGUAGAGGUGAAAUUCGUAGAUAUUGGGAAGAACACCAGUGGCGAAGGCGGCCACCUGGCCCGGUACUGACGCUGAGGCGCGAAAGCGUGGGGAGCAAACAGGAUUAGAUACCCCCGUAGUCC